rnacentral:rRNA from 1 species
UACGGGGGGAGCAAGCGUUGUUCGGAUUUACUGGGCGUAAAGGGCGCGUAGGCGGCCACCGCAAGUCGACUGUGAAAUCUCCGGGCUUAACUCGGAAAGGUCAGCCGAUACUGCGGGGCUAGAGUGCAGAAGGGGCAACUGGAAUUCUUGGUGUAGCGGUGAAAUGCGUAGAUAUCAAGAGGAACACCUGAGGUGAAGACGGGUUGCUGGGCUGACACUGACGCUGAGGCGCGAAAGCCAGGGGAGCAAACGGG